UCAUCUGCAGGUACCGCCCUUUGCCUUCCUCGAAGCGCUUCUUCUCGUCCUCAGUCUCGGGCUAUGGACACACAGAGGAGCAGGCAGCAGGAAAUUCUAAGUCGGUGGGGGCACAAGUACUUCGGGCCCCAAGUACUCCAGCCCCUGCUGAAGGCACCCCAUGAAGACAAGGCCACAUCCUGCUGAGCCCAACCCAAGGCUCCUGUGUACAUGCAGGUCCCAACGCACCCUCAAGGGCGAGGGGGGGCUCACGUGGCCCUGAUGUGCGGCUAUGACAAGCCUGGCCCUCCGGCCCUCCAUCAGGUUCCCCCAAACGACUGCUACUACCCCACUCCCAGAAGUGUCUAGACAUGUGCACUGAAGGUUCUGGACGCUUCUCUCAGUGCACGACCCCAGGAGGGCAGAAGCCCAGGUGCAGCUAAUUCAUCAGCCAGGAUCUGCCCUCAGACAGACCUCCUGCCGCCUGAUGAUGGAUGUGCGGGCAGCGGGCCGGCUGCAGAGCACGGCCAAACCCUGUUCAGCCUGGGAACAAGGAGCUGGCGAGGGCUCACCCCUCACCUUGUCUUCGGGGGCGGCAGCCUGUGUGGGGAGCUCUUGGGCUCUGUGGAUUCAGCGCUGCCACCCCACAUGCUGAUGGCCCUUUCCUGCCCACCUGCCCCGGGAGGUGUUAUAAAGACACCUCAGGGCUGGGGAGAGGUAUGUGGGGGCAGAACAGAGCCAGGGGUGAGCAACUCUGCUCUCGGUGGAGGCAGGGUCCCACCCGGCCGGCUGCUGGACGCUCAGCCUCCCCAGGGCUGUGAGCUCGGAUAAACAGCUCUCCCAGCCAAGUGACUAAGAGGGGCCACCACUUCCCUGCUGGGCGCGGAGCUGGCAGAACUAGACAGAUGGCUCCCUGCACACGGCCCCACCCACGGCCCAGCUGCCGCUGCCUCCUUGCAGCCGUCUCCCUCCAUCCGGCAAAGUAAAUAAAUACAUAAGUUGUUGGCUGUUGCUGUUUUUAAUGGGGGGUUGGAGGUGAUGGGGAGAAGGACAAAGUUCCUCCGUGGGAACCAUACUUCCUCUCAAGGGCCUAAAGCUGUUGGCAGGAACUACCAAUCCCUGCAGGCUGCCCAUCCCCCAGUCUGGGGGCGAGGGCUUCCUGUGCAUUUGAAAAAGCACAGGUGACAGCAAAGGCGCCCACUGGAAGCUCAGGGUGCGGUGAUCCCCGUUUGCCUGCCUGGUGGAAGAGACAGUGUGCACUGAAGGCUCUGGACGCUUCUCUCGGCGCCGGGUAGACAUCGGAAUUGACCAGGUCUGGUACCUGCACCUGGGCCUCUGCCCUCCUCGGAGGGGUGCCAAGGACCAUGGGGUCACUGGGACCUGCCAUGUGGCCAGGCGGCCUCCAGGAUGCUCCCGGGGUCAGCUGCGAACCAGGAGUCUCCAGGAGGUGACGUGGUGAAGGGUCUCCUGUGGGGCCAGUGUAGGCCACUCUCCACACACAGCAGUUACACUGGGUGUGUGAGCACGUGUGCGCUCAUCAGCACACUCAUGAACUCCUGUCAUCAUGAACAGCCUCAGAGACGAAGUGUACUCCUGUUUGCCAAUGCAGAGCCGACGCCCUGGGAGGAGGGCAGUUGGCCCUGGGGGUUAACUUAAGGCAGCUGGAUCUUUGGAAGGGCAUAGUCAGGCCCAGGGACACGGGUGGGGGUGGGGUCCCCAGGCAUGGGCCCCCUCUGCUGGGGGCGCCCUGCUGGCUCCCGCCUGCUGGCUCUGGGCCUCCGAUGUUCAUCUUUCCCUCCUCCCGCCAGCACUGUCUCCCGGGCUCCUUUCCACUGGUGGGGAAGCCUGUGGCUUUCAGAGCCUAACAGUGCAAACCAAAUGUUUUCCAUUUUGCAUUCUCUGUGCUUCAAGAAUACACAUUUGGAACUUGGCAGAGAGGGUGAGUGACUAAGUUCCACCCUCAGUAAAAUCAAGAGCUUGUCCUUUUUGUAAUUAAUGAAUGUCUGGUGCAAAGAGGGUUUCCAGUGGUAAUAGAACAACUUCCUGUGAGCCUGAGGGACGCAGACCUUCUUAAUUAGGAAGCCAUGCAGCACAGCCUCUCCAGCCUUCAUAACAGGAGACGAAAGGGAUCUUGGGACAAUCACCAGGCAAUUAAGAUAUCGUCUGAUGACCGGGGCCACUCAGCAUGGUGUGGCCAGGGGCACUGGCGAGCUGCCCACAGGCGGCUGUGUCCCCCGGCUGGGCCCACAGACCCUGACCCAGGUGGGGAUGGGCUGGGCACCGGGAAGCCACAGUCCGCGGUCUGGUGUCUAGUUCCUAGGGGCCGCAGGCUGGACUGAGCAGCUACUGCGCCAGGCUCAGCACCGCAGCCCCCAGCACACAGCAUCACAGCCUCCAAUGACACAGCCAAUGUGGAGAGUCGUAAACACCCUCACUGGGGGUUCCCCUCACUCUGCAGCACUGGCUCCGCUCCUCAAAUAACUGCCCUCCUGUGCGACCACGAAGUUCACCUGCAGAAGGGUCAACAGGUGGCCAGGAGAGGCAGGGAACACAGGUGCUGCCAGGCAGGAGGCAGGAGGGUGCCACCCCCACAGGAGAGGGGGCUCGGGACCUGCUCGCAGCGCUGGCCCCUGGCCCGGGUGUG